UCCCAUCCCAUGGCCCCCGUGACGGCCUCCGCCCAUCCUCAACCGGUCUUGGUUUUUGUCUGUUUCAUUUCACCGUUAGGUUAACCAAAUUUCUUCGUCAAAUUCCAACGGAUUACAUAAUAAAUCUAGCAACCUUGAUUACAGUGGUAGUAGGGGUACUCCGUAUGAUUUUGCAGACAGGGCCGUCUUGUUGGUGGUUAUUGUGGUGGUUAGUGCGGGUGCUUGUCUUUGUUCCUCUCUAGGAGUAUCUAUCUAGCCUACUUAGCUUAGCUAGCUAGGUUAAUGCGUGGGUUCUAGUGCUGUCCCUAAUAAGCUAAGCUAACCUCUGGUUUGGUUAGCAUACAGUAUACAGUACGUGCUAGCCAACUAAUCAACCAAUCCGUGGCUUGAUUUAGGGGCUUGUCUGCCCAUGAGCCUCCACGUCUUUCUCCUAGGUUUGCCAUUGCACAGU
rnacentral:lncRNA from 1 species